rnacentral:rRNA from 1 species
CCUACGGGUGGCUGCAGUGGGGAAUAUUGGACAAUGGGCGAAAGCCUGAUCCAGCCAUGCCGCGUGUGUGAAGAAGGCCUUCGGGUUGUAAAGCACUUUCAGUGGGGAAGAAAGCCUUGGGGCUAAUACCCUCGAGGAAGGACAUCACCCACAGAAGAAGCACCGGCUAACUCCGUGCCAGCAGCCGCGGUAAUACGGAGGGUGCGAGCGUUAAUCGGAAUUACUGGGCGUAAAGCGCGCGUAGGCGGUCUUAUAAGCCGGUUGUGAAAGCCCCGGGCUCAACCUGGGAACGGCAUCCGGAACUGGCAGGCUAGAGUGCAGGAGAGGAAGGUAGAAUUCCCGGUGUAGCGGUGAAAUGCGUAGAGAUCGGGAGGAAUACCAGUGGCGAAGGCGGCCUUCUGGACUGACACUGACGCUGAGGUGCGAAAGCGUGGGUAGCAAACAGGAUUAGAUACCCUGGUAGUC